CAGAGAAUAGUUUAAAGAGAAUCCUGGCUUUGGGAGUCAGGGGCAAAGGUUAAAACCCUUUUUUNUCUGA
rnacentral:tRNA from 1 species